UCGCUUCCUACUUUUGUUUGUUGGUGGU
rnacentral:sRNA from 1 species